UUGGAUUAUAAAGACUUUACAAUAAAAAUCAUAGGAAUAAUAAGGAUAAUAGAAUUGACACAGUAGAAAAAACAAAACGAGGAACCAGAUAGUAAAGGAGGUGGCAGAAAAAUCUAUAUAUUGAACAACACAACUUUUGGCCGAGGAGGACUAUAAAACUGAGCCUAAUCUUUGGUCUUAGCAUCCCAUCAGCCUGGGAGGGAAAAUAAUGCCCUGAAUGAGCACCAGGCAUCCCAUUCAGGUCCCAUCAGGGACAAGACUCUUGUUACACAGCUGAAGAGUGCAUCACAGUGUUAUCUUCUUGCCAUGCUGCAGAUCUGAAGAGGGGUCUUAGAAGAGGCAGAAUCACCCACACUCAAGACCAUUUCUCAAAUUCAUCUACGAGAUAAGUCCAUUCUCCUCCUUAGGGGAAAAGGCAGGAGUAUGACCCUAAUGGAAAUCCCUCUGCAUUAAAACUUGAGCAGUGGGGAACCAGUUUUCCUUCUCACAAGGGCAAACCAGGAAAAUAAAUGCCUUAUACUGGAAUAAUAACUUUAGAAGUUCCCUAGGGACUAGUUAUCUCCCAAUUUAAAUAUGUAAAGCAGAGCCUAGAAAUCUAAUAAAGGCAUAGCAAUGUGGAAGAAAGUUGUUGCCCUAUAAGUGGCAUUUACCAAUCUGAGGUAAGAACAGUUACUGAAAGAGUUGAGAGAAAGCACAGAAUCUAGAGAAAGAGGAAACAAAAACUGUCUGUUGUUGCAGCUCCAGCACUCAGUCUCCUGGGGCAAUGGAGAUGCAUUAAGAGCUCAGCUCACUCCCGGCUAAAUUCCUUGCUCAUGAAGUAACUUUCUGAUAAUAAUUUGGCUUUCCAUGUAGACUUUCAAACAGAGGAGAGAUGGUGCUGACCAGCCAACAUGGAUAUUCACAUUUCCUCAGAGACUAUAUAUAUUGGGAGCUAGUUUCUCAUGAGUUGUUUGAUAUAAUCAGUCCCCCUGAGCCCAGUCAUUUCCAUGUGAGCUAAAAAGCUUGGGUUGUGGACCUUGCAAAGCUGAGGAUGAGACCUAGAUUACGGUUCCCACAGCAAGAUGGCAGGUUUUCUUUGGGAAAUUUUAGAGUCUUCAUUCUAAAUUGAACUUCUCUAUGUGUCCUCAUCCAGAAAGGGACUCAAUACUUGAUGGGUUUGUGCCAAGCUUUUGUAUUAAAUUCAGCUACAUCACAGUAAAUUAUAAAAGUUAAUGACCUAUAAUUAUAUUUUCUAUGGUAAGGCACCUAGAAUCAAGUAAUUGCCAAAUACAAGUGAAAUAAAAGCCAGCAGUGGCUAGAAUUUUCACCCAGUUCUUCUAUAUUUCUAGGCCUUUCUAAGCUCAUAGCAGCAACUUCCCUCUCCCUUUCUCUAGUCUUCUUCCUUCGCUUCCAUCUUCUUUUCUCUCAGCUACAAUGAACUGCUCCACAACAUUAAAUGUCUUUAAACUCUUCCAUAUGAGAUUCGAUUUGGCUCUGAGGAGUUAAACCAAAGCGCAAGUUACAAAUGUCCUAAGUGUUCUUCCACAGGGAGUAUUUUAGUUGAUGUCUUCAAACAUACCACCCUCAGAAAAGCAAAUAUUUCAAAGACAGAAAUGCAACUGUUGAAUGUGGCGAUAAUUCUGCAUGCAGUAGUAAGACAAAUUUAUGAAUAAAAAUUCACAUUUCUAAUCAUAUAAACGUUUUAAAAGGUUGUUUACUUGACCAUAUAUUGAGAAACUUGCUUCAGAAUCUGAUUCCAGGUCAGGGGCUAUAGCUUGUUCAUACCACUCUGUGAGAGGACUGCUUCACUCUCACCACCAGGCUGACUAGUGCUCUGUGGUCUUGAUCAAUUGUCCCAGCAGAGUUGGUGCAUGGGAAAGCCUUUCUUGGCCUUAUCAGCAGCUCAGCCUGGGAGGUUGGCCCGGGGGCUGACCAAGCACAAAAUAGAAAAGCCACUAAUAAGAUCCAGCUGGAACAAAUAGCCUCUAUUUAUUUUAGGAAACUAAUGAUAUGUCAUCAUGACACAUAUCUAACCUUAGUAUUUCUGAUUGGACAGGCCAGUUAUGUGGGCUAUGAUUCAAGCCAUGGUUACGGCUCUGCUGCUGGAAGAAGGAUUCACCUGGUUUUGUGGUCUCGCUCUUCAGAAAUUGUAAUCAUUAUCCAUCCUAAGGACGGAGGAAUCAACGUUUCGGUAGAGAAGAAUUAGGUGCAACCUAGACAAGUGAGACAUUUCUAUGGUCUGGGUCUGAGAAAACAUGACAGGAAAGAAAGAGAAGGGCUGCAAGGCCACGGGCUCAAAGCAGAGGCUACCGAAGGACAAAUGUGUUACAAAGUGUUAUGAAAUGAAUUGACUUACUAGGAAGGCACAACAUCCAGCAUUACAAAAGGACUGCUCUGCCCUAGCCAUGUCCAGCUGAAUAACUGGCCACUACAUGACCCUCCACACCUCCAGGGUGGAGGCAGAGUUUGUAAGCUUGUGGCCUGCAGACCUAAAGUGGCCCAAAGAUGUAUUCUUUCUGAGCCCUCUCCCAAGUGAUUUGAAAAAUUAAGCCACACUAAAACAACAGGAGAUUUCACGCACACACAAAUUGAGAUUUCUAGCAUCUCUUAAAAGAUAACAAAGAAAUAAGCACUUAAAACUGAACUCAUAUUCCACAUGGCAGCACCAACUGGCCAAGAUUCAGUGGCUGCUGCUCCUUUACAGAGCAACGGCGAUGCUUCUGUGCCAGUGUGUGGCGGUGAAAGCAGGACCCUGGGGCCGGCCUGUCUAGCUGCCCUCCAACUCCACCCCUUACUAGCUGUGGGAACUUGUUAACUGUUCUGUUCCUCCGUUUACUCAUCAGUAAAAUGUGAUUCAUUGUGCUUAUCUAUUAGGUUGUUGUAAAGAUUAAAUAAAUUAACAAGUAUACUGCGCUUCAACUAGUGCCAUGUAAAUAUAGUAGUAUUACAAAAGCCUUUGAUAUUAUUACUAAUAUAGUAUUAAUAUCUUGUCUUCUAAAUUAUUUAGUUAUGUUAAUCCUCCUAAGAAUCCUGUAAGGUAGGUGAAGAAACUGAGGCAUGGAGAGGUUGGAAAACCUGCCUAAACUUGUCACAUGGUCACAUUGCACAUUACUAGUAAGCAGUGAAACCUCCUCAGGGGUCUGUGAUCUAAACCACCAUGCUAUAGAAUGACAUUCCUUUAGGUGGGACCCACACUCUCCAGUUUUCCUUAGUACUCACCAUUUCCACAGCAUAUGCAUAUAAAUGUGCACAUUCCUUUUCUAUCUUCCCAUCCACUGCCCUGUCCUCCUUUGGGUUAUCUCCCUGGCCCCUGCAUGCAUUUGAGUUUGGAACCCCUAGUCUAGAAAAGUGGAUAUGCUGAAUAGCUGACUGUGUCCUCCAGGUAGAUUACCUCUCCCAAUAAGGCUUUUAUGAAGAGCCAAAGAGAAGACAAAUUGUGCCCAGUGAGGGUCUAUUUUAGUGUGGGUAGUCUGUGAUAGCAGACAAGCAGCAU
rnacentral:lncRNA from 1 species